CAAAAAGCUUGUGAAGGAAAUGAGAGAUCUUAGCCGCUGACUUUGACCUUUGACAACGUGUUUUGUCCUGUAUGAGAAGGUCUCGGAUGUCAGGCCGUUGUUUAAAGUGCUAUCUGUGGCCUAAGAGACUCUUCUGUGACUGACUGAGUAAACGUCUGCCUCUAAACUGUUCUGCAUCUGUUCCUGCUCAAGUGAGUUAGCAUGACAGCAGGACAACCCCAUCACUGUGAUGCUAAAGAGCAGCAGAGGAGGAUUUUAAAGUUGUGAAACACAGAGACAGGAUAUGAGUAGAUUACUGGGGGAUUCUAAACAGAGACAUUUUAAAGCUACAGUGUCUGGAAGAACAAAAGAUGGUGGGAUGUCAUCUAAACUAAGAGUCCCUUUGUAAACACCAACAGCUUCGGUGAUUAGGGUGCUAGGACCGUCUUGGAAUAACUCUGUUUAUUUCAGACUGUGAUUUUAAAAGAGAAAGCUAAUGGAAAUGGGGGAUAUGGUUGGCUGGUACCACAAAUAGCAGACAUUUUCUCAGAUUGUCCAAAAGCCGCAAGCGAAGGCUCGUUAGCUAGCAGAGGUUAGCACGGGUUCAUUAGCUUGUGUAGAUUAGUGAGGGCUACUUAGCUCACUUUAUGGGGGGUCUCUCAAGUCUGUUGGCUAAUUACUCCCCAUUCAUCUCUCCUUAACAGUCAAUUAAAUAAUUAAUGUUUGAUAAAGGUGCGAUGUCAGGCUGAUCUCGCCCUGUGAAAUAUUAAUUAGAUCAGGAAAGUAAUUUAUGAGAGCUGAUUAGCAGAGUAAUUUUCCUCACCCAUGAGAGAAAGAGUCCAAUUCUAGAAAUAGAGACAGAGAGAGAAACGAUGAUGAGAGAACUGAAAAUUCAUCCUGAAUGAACAACUUCAUACUGACCACUACAGUUAUGUCGGAGUAACCUGAAACAGGUUAUAUUUGAUGUUUUAUUUUGGGUAGAUUUACAUUGAAAUGUGUUAAUUGAUCAGUUAUUUUGAUGUAAAGUUUAAAAACUUAUUAUUUUAAUUUUCUUUUUUAACAUAUGGGAAAAAAAAUACUCAGAAUCUUUAAACAAUCCCCAGUUGGACCCUAAGGAGCCUUGUCACUGUUCAAGGUAGCUCUGAUUGGUGGAUUUAAACACUUGACAUCUGGCAACCACAGCUAUGAAAGUGUGUGGAGCCUUGUUACCUAUGCAAGAUAAUGCAAAUAGCAAGUAAAAAAAAAAAAAAAAAAUCAGGAUAAAUAACCAGUGGGAAAAUAUUUCAAGCGAUUAUGCUUAAUAAAUUGAGAGAAGCAGAAAUCAUGAUCACAAUUAAAAUAUAAUUCAUUAUGCAGCCCUGUCUGAACACACACAACACUGAACUGACUUAGCUAAAUAAUGACACUAUUGUCUUUUAGUGCUGCUUUACAGCAGAAUCUGAACUGUUUCCAUAAUUGAUUUUCUGCUCUUUUGACACAGUUUGUAUUGUAUGAAGAACUAUAGAAUUGAUGGUGACUUGACUUGGCUUGAAGUAGAACGAUCUGGCAGAAUAAGUACCUUUUGUGUUGUGUUUUGUGGUUUUUUAUUUAUUUUUUUAUUUUUUAUUUUUUUAAUAAAAUGGUUUAGAGACUCAAACAGAUCAAUUCCAAAUGACUUAUAAACUUAUUUUAUUAAAAAAAAAAUUCAUGAUGAUCAGAUCAUUUGUGAUAAAGUCUUUUUUUAUUUAUUUAAAUAUUUUAUUAAGGAUUGCAAUUUUCAUGUCCAUAUAGCAGCCACAGAAAAUCAUAUUUUAGAUAUAUAUCUAAUAAAUAAACAGUAAAACCAAAACACCAUGAUAAAUGUAUACUAGUUUUCCCA
ensembl:lncRNA